GAAGAAGAGAAUUGGCAGGUGAUGCUCACCUACUCCCAUCCAGAUGGCCUUUCCAUGCACGACCAACAAAUCAGCCGUCAGACCAGAAAAGUCUCCUUUUAUUAAAAAAGCAGCGCGGUGUGUGACCCCGAUGCCGUAGCAGAAGCAGCACCAACAGAACCAGAACCUUUGGGGCCUCCUGUUGUGAAAUCAGGAAGGAGCAAGUGUGACACCUACCUGCGGAAGUUGGAAGAGUUUCCACGACACGCAUGACAAACAAGCACCCACCCACCGACUUUUCCUCCCACUCGCAAGCGCGCGCGCGUGUGUGUGUGUGCGUGUGUGUGUGUGUGGUGCGUGUGUCCAAACAGCCAUUAAAAAUAGCGAGUGUGUCCCUUCGCCUUGAAUUAAUGGGGCCACUAUGCUGUGAAUGCACAUGUCUCUCUUUCUCUCUCUCUCUCUCUCUCCCUCUCUCUCUCUCUUUAAGCAGGCACCCUUUGCAAAUGUAAUGAGGUCUAAAUUCAGCAUAAAAUCGAGCUCAUUACUUCGAUCCGCCACCUGAUUGUACCGCAUAAAACAAGCCAGGUAAUUGGCUUUAAAACGCCUUAUUAUUAUGGGAAACUUUUAAUAAGAAUGGAUUAGAUACUUCUGG